CGUGUAGGUGGUUAGUAAAGUUGGGUGUGAAAUCCCUCGGCUCAACCGAGGAAGGGCACUCAAAACUAACUAGCUUGAGAGUGGUAGAGGAAGGUGGAAUUCCUAGUGUAGAGGUGAAAUUCGUAGAUAUUAGGAGGAAUACCGGAGGCGAAGGCGGCCUUCUGGACCAUUUCUGACACUGAGACGCGAAAGCGUGGGUAGCAAACA
rnacentral:rRNA from 1 species